GGGGUUGUGGCUCGGUGGUAGAGCACUUUCCUGGCAGGUAUGAGGUGCUGGGUUCAAUUCUCAGCACCA
rnacentral:tRNA from 1 species